CAGUGUGGGACAGGAUUAACAUUCAGGGCUUGGGAAAGUCACUCCAGAGGACACUAUAGUUGUUUGUGUCUGAAUUUAUCUGAGGAUUUCAACCAGCAACCUUUAAAAUCCUCACGCUUCACCGGCACCACUUUGGUUGUACGUAUUAGUUGGAGACGACUGCAGAGUACUCCACAAGAUUUUAUUGACACUUUAAAAAGCUGGUUCACUGUGAUUGGAUGGCAGGAAGAAGCUGAGGAGCAGAGGUCAGAACUCACCCCAUCUUAUCCAAGAGCAAAAUGACCAGCAGCACAAGACUUCUGCAUUCAUAUAAAAGUUGACUAGGUGCAAAUCA